rnacentral:lncRNA from 1 species
AUAUAUAGCAAGAGAGAUAUAAAAUAGUAACUAUCGUUGCUGCUUUGGGCUGCUUUGGAGGAGGCUACGAGUAUGGGGAAGGCAGAGAUGGGGCACAGGGGUGGAGCAGGAGGCUGGGGGGACCCAGCGUUCCGUACAAUCCAGGGAUGCAACACGGGCUUGUUUGAUUUUUGUGCCUGAACAGUUUUUCCCAUGUUGAGAAAAAAAGGAAAAAAAAAAAAAAAACUGCUGCAAUUUUUCACAAGUGUAUAGCCCUUCUCUCGAGGCUGCUGGUGUAACUACUACAGGUGGGGGACAAUUCAUUGGCAAGCCCACCUGGGAUGGAAAGUGGGGACACCAGGAUGGAGGAGGAGGAGGGGGAGAGCCUGCUUGUUGGUUUUCCCAAGGCCCACGUUGCGCUUGUCUGUUCCCUUCACCUGGGCCCUGCUCCGAAGCUCCUGCUGGCUGGGCUGGGGUGGCAGCACUAACCUGGAUAUUGCAGUGGGAGACAAGAAGCCAAACUAAGGUAGCAAUGGCCAAGAGAGGGGUGCAGGACAAGCCUGGGAGGGGAAGAGGGUGGGGAGCGGGCCUGUGUGCUGGCAGCAUCCCCCAGGCCUCGGCGGCCUGUGGGGCAGACAGGGUCCCUGCCUCCUGGGUGUAUCAUAGAGUUCGUUCGCAUAGUGUGAUGCAUGAUGCUCGUGAGGUUACGAAGCCGUGGUGGUGCACCAUGACAUCCGACCCCCAUAGAUAAAGAUAAAUAUAUAUAUAUGUAUGUAAAUUAUAGCACUGAGGGCCCUGCGGCCCUGCUGGACCAAGCAAAACUAAGCCUUUUGGUCUGGGUAUUUUGUUUUCGUUUUGUUUCUUGUUUGUUUCUGUGGCUUGUCUUACGUCGUGACAGCACAAGUGCCAGUCCGAUUGCUCUGUAUUACAGAAUAGUGUUUUUAAUUCAUCAACGUUCUAGUAAUUGUCUACCUCAGCACCUCCUCUUAGCCUAAUUUUAGGAGGUUGCCCAAUUUUGUUUCUUCAAUUUUACUGGUUCCUUUUUGUACAAAUGCACCUCCACCUCUGUCUCUAUCUUUUUCCUUCCUCCACUCUCUCUCUCCCGCCCCCGUCCCGCCUCCCGGCCCUCCCAGUUCUGUGUGUGCCAUCCUCGCCCCGCCCCCAGUUGGUCUGCUUGCCAGUCUUAGCCGUUCUCCUGCCCGAGCAGUUGACUCAAAGUUGCAGCUUUCCGCAUCUGCCUUCGUUUUGUGUAGAUUGCCGCGUUUCUUUGUAAUUUCAGUGUUUCUGAAAAGAUUUAAAAAGGAAAAAAAAAAAAAAAGAAAAAUCAAAUUUACUGCUGCAGGUUUUUUUCUCUCUCCAUGUGUCACUAAGUGAAGUUUGUGCCUUCUAUAGCAAAGAGAAUAUUUUUUACAUCCUACUAACAGUAGAUUUUUUUGUAGUGAACAUUUUUUGUAUUUUUAUUUAUAAGUCUCAUAAGAAAAAUAGCAAUGUUCAGUUGUAUACCUUGAAUCUGCAGUUAGAAGAGAAUAAAGUUAAUUCAGUUGUCUCUGGUUCGAAGUGU